AACGAACGCUGGCGGCAGGCCUAACACAUGCAAGUCGAGCGAGGUAGCAAUACCUAGCGGCGGACGGGUGAGUAACGCGUGGGAACGUGCCCUUUGCUUCGGAAUAGCCCCGGGAAACUGGGAGUAAUACCGAAUGUGCCCUACGGGGGAAAGAUUUAUCGGCAAAGGAUCGGCCCGCGUUGGAUUAGGUAGUUGGUGGGGUAAUGGCCGACCAAGCCGACGAUCCAUAGCUGGUUUGAGAGGAGGAUCAGCCACACUGGGACUGAGACACGGCCCAGACUCCGACGGGAGGCAGCAGUGGGGAAUCUUAGACAAGGGGCGCAAGCCUGAUCUAGCCAUGCCGCGUGAGCGAUGAAGGCCUUAGGGUUGUAAAGCUCUUUCGUGGGGGAAGAUAAUGACGGUACCCCAAGAAGAAGCCCCGGCUAACUCCGUGCCAGCCGCCGCGGUAAAAC
rnacentral:rRNA from 1 species